AGAGUUUUGGCCUCAGCCGUUUGACUCUAAUCAGGAAAUCAUUUUUAGAAAGAUUUGUCAGUGUAAGAAAACAAGCUCCUGAACUAAAUUAGGAUCUGGAUUAUUUUUCCCUCCUCUCUCGAUCUGCAGUGCAAGGCAGAGUGGUGAGCCAUCACGGUUUUGUGUGUGGUGAAUUUGUUUCCACUGCACAUUUUAAUUCGGAGCUCCUGAAGGUGUCUGUGUUUGUAAGGACUGUGUUUUUGGAGCUGCUCCCUCGGAGGUUUGGUGCUUGUUUCUCCUUCCCUCAAACUGGUUGGCUUUUUUGGCAAGACCGCCUAGGCUUCAGGAUUCUUUAGUCUAAUUUUCUUCUCCUUUUUCUUUUUUUUUCACCCCAGUAAUGAAUUCACGGCAUGUCUCUGGGAAAUUAAGAUUCAGCCAUGUCUUCCUAGGAUCCAGCAUCCAAACCUGGACCAAAGUCCUCGGAUCCUCAGCAAUGGGGGUUUCUUUUCUGGGAGCUGCUAUCACUGAAUACAUAAAGAAAUUGAGCCUAUAUGAUUUCAAUCUUCACCUUCUGAUGCUGAUGAAACAGGAUUCUAUGCAGAGAAAAUCCUCUCCAGUCAAGUAAUUGCAUCCAUUUCAUCUUCCCAGCCCUCCUCUAGAUGGGAGGUGGAGGUGUGUGUACCAAUCUCUUAAUUCAGAAAUGAGACAAGAGGAGGAAAAAGGAGUUCCGGAGGUGUGUGAUCCAAGUCUGGCUGCAGGCUAUGGACAUUCCAGGAGGGAGACUCCAUCAGAGAAGUGGAGCUGGAGUUGGGUGUUAGAGGGUAAAGGGAGGGUUUGAACAGGCAAGGGAUGGGGGAGGAGUGCCUUACAGUGGGAGAGGGAGAGGCUGCUUGAAAAAGCAUAGAGCUGUGAGUGAGCAUGCGUGCCCAAGGAGAGGGAGCCAGGCACUGCCAGGGUGCAGGUGGGGCAGACUGGCUAGGUGUGUGGCCAGGGUGUGGAAGGAACAUGCUAAGUGUGACAGUUAAUUUAUGUGUCAUCCUGGCUAGGCUAUGGUGCUCAGUUGUUUGGUGAAACAUCAGCCUAGAUGUUGCUUCAAAGGUAUUUAUUAAAUGUGUAAUUUAAAUCAUAGACUUUGAGUAAAGCUGAUCACCUUACGUAAUGUGAGUGGGUCUCGUCCAAUCAACUGAAGGCUUUAAGAGCAAAGACAAAGGUUUUUCAAAGAGAAAAAGAAGACUCUCCUCAAGACUGUGACAUAGAAACUCUGCCUGAAUUUCUAGCCUGCUGCCCUGCAGAAUUUAGAGUCAAGCCUACAACAUAACUCUUACCUGAAUUCUCAGGCUGCUGACUUACCCUGCAGAUUUUGGACUUGCCAGCCCCUCACAAUCCCAUGAGCCAAUUCCUUAAAAUAAAUCUCUCUUUUUCCCUCUGUAUAUAUUUAUGUCCUAUUGAUUUUGGUUCUCUGGAGAGCCCUGACUACUACACUGAGUGAAGGGAGGGCUUUGCUAAGUGAUCAUGGUCCCAAGGGCAGCCUCUGAGAGCCCGCUCCUUUUGCAGGAUAUUUGAAGACCAGACCUUGAGUCAAAUUCUGCAGCCAAAUUCAAUGCCCAUAAGACUUUCUGCUCAGAAGACGUCAUGCAAAGGGAAUCCCCAGGGCUCUUUAAAUUAGAUCUUCUGUUUGUGCAGACACGUGAUAAAUGUUUUGGGUACAGCCUGGCUCACACCACAUUUUCCACUUUUUGGGUGGAGUCAGUUUUAAUUGACAAGAAGUGCCUUUACAGGUGGACUUUUUUUUUGGUGGUGGAGGGGAGUAGUUAAAACCGAUGCUUUGCAUUCUGUUGGGCAGCAGAAAGAUUGCUUUUUCAAUAAGCAAGCCUUGGGUUUUUCUGAGCCAGUGGUAUGAGAAAUGCCUCUCCUGAAGGCCACCACGCAAGCGAGUCCCCACAGAAGCAUGCCCGAGCUGUCAGGUGCAGGGAGAAAUAUCUUUAGUAAGAGCCGGUCAUGUAAUGAGACUUCCCCACCACAGCAUAGAUGGGCAGAGGGGUUUCCACAAGGACAAUUCUUAAGAAUCUCUGUAAAAACGCAUGACUCCAUCUGUCUCCUCUCUCUUCUUUGGCUUCAGAUGAGCUGAGCCAUUUAAAAAUUCCCCAACAAGGGACCCCAGGCACCAGAAGAAGUGAUGAACAGAUUUUCAAUUUGGCCCUGAUUUGCAUAAAUUUUUUUUUUCUGGCAG
rnacentral:lncRNA from 10 species